CACACUGGCUACGGCUGCAGGGGCCCCCCUCCCGCCACCGGCAGGGCGGGCUCUUCCGGAGCCCACGGAGGGCAUGGAGGGAAACAGCUCCUCCUGGCCACGCCGGCCACCCUGGCACGGGCACGGUCCCCGGAGCCAGCAGCAACGAGGAGGCUGCCGGGUCCCGGCCUGGGAGCCGACCCGGCGGGACGUGGCCCACUGAGAGCGACCUUUUUCCUACAGCUGCUCCAUCCGUGGAGAUAUCUGCAAGGCCGACCAUGUUCCCUACGCCCCCUGCUGCUGGCCAGCAGGGGAGGAGAGGACCACAGAGCCCGCUGCGGGAGCUCGCACGACGUGCUUCUCUGGACUCCUGUCUGCAAGCUCGUGACAAGCCUGGUCUGUAGGUGAAGUGCUCCAACACGGGCAGCGGGACAGACACGGGGGAGGUCGGGCUGAGAAGGCAGGAAGGAGGCACCAGCAGGGCAGAGCUGGGGCAAAGCCACCGGGGAUUCUAGAUCAUUCCGGAAUCAUCUGGACGACCAGAUGACUCCCUUCUGGAGCAACAGUGACCUUGCACGCUGACCCCUGGCCCGGGCUGGGCGGUGCUGGUGAGCAGAUCGGUUUUGCCUGGUUUUGAACUUCACGUUCAGGAUGAAAUCAUACAGCCGAUAGUCGCCCGUAUCCAGUGUCUUCUCUUGGACGUCACGCCUGCAAGUGGUGUGUUUCCGUGAGCAGCAGCAGACGUUCAGUGACGUCCUGCCCACCGGGUGAAGACACACAAUUGAUCCAUUUUACUGCUCGUGGGCAUUUGGCUGUUUCCAGGGUUUUUCCCACUAUCAUGAACAGUGCUGCUCUGGCACUUUGAUUCUCUGUCACUGUCAUUCCUUAGAUGGAGAUGGUAAAGCCCACAGAGGGAGAGACUGGAUUGUGUCCACUUUCGUUUCCCCCUUUUCUGCGCAGAAACAGGAAGUCCCCACUCUGGCCCUAGGCUAGAAGGUGGAGUUCUCCGACUGUCUGAAGCAGGCCUGGGCUGCAGGGUUGGGGUAGUUUUCUCAGUGAUAUAAACAGUCACCUGCUCCUUCUAGUCAAGUCUCUGUGAACAGGACCAGGUGGCUCUGGUGAAGGAGAGACUGGGAAGAGAGAACCCUGUUUCACUCUGGAUCAAAACUGUAGACGUGUGGUAACAUCUAUACUAGCUUGAAAUUGUAUUUAGCUACAAGUAGCAGAGACCUGGGAAAUAGUGGCUUAGAUAAAAUAGAGGUUUAUUCUCACAGAUCAGAGAAGUCAGGGACUCCCAGGACAGGUAUGAUAAUUCUAAAGCAUCAGCGGGAACCCCCAAUCCUCUUUCUGUUCUGCCAUAUUCAGAGUUUUGGCUCCAUCCUCAAGGUCACAAAAUGGCCUCUGGAGUGCCAGCCAUCAUGUAUAUGUUCCAGGCAGGCAGAAAAAGGAAGAAAAUAAGAAGAGCACACACGAGCUCUUUAGGAGCUUUAUUGGAAGUCCUGCCCAACAACUUCUGCUUGCAUGUCAUUAGCCAACCCGUUUGACAGGGAAGCUGGAAAGGGAGUCUUAGCUGCUCACCUGAUCACCUUGAGAGAAGGGGAGGUUAGAUAUUGGGCAGGCAAUGAGCAGGCUCUUGCUCAACAUCCAAGCCCAGUUUCCUUCUGCCUUAGUUGGGAUAUUGAGAGACAAGAGAGUUUCCAACGCCAGCCAUUGCUAGAAGCAAGUGAGUUUGAUUCCUAAAACAAAAUGCUUUAAAUGGGCUUUGCCGAUGUUCUCCUCCUUUGCCGGUUCUCCUCCUUCAUUAGAGCCACACGGUGCCCCCUCGGGAAGGGGCACGGCCUCUCCUCGAGAACGGCAGAAGAGUGGCAGGCGCAGGUGGUUCUGUCUCAGAAACCCUCUCAGCUCAGCCGGGCGCCUGCAGGAUGAAUCAGCUGCAAAUCCGGGUAAUGCUCUCCCAGCUCGGGUGUGGAACGCACGUUGCAAACACAGGCCACACCUGAUGCCGGAGCGUGUGCUUGUCCUACGACGGGGGAACCCACACUUCCGGGGGCCCUUCAGAGACAGGCCCUGGGAGGACAGGUGCCUCCCAUAUGUACCUGCCCACGGGUGUUCAAAGCAGCACAAUUCACAGCAGCCAAAAGGUGGAAGCAAGCAAUGUCUGUCCACAGAUGAACAAAGUGUGGUCUUACACACGCGACGGAAUAAUAUUAUUCCGCCUGGAAAGAAAGGAGAUCCAGACACGGGCUCCAACACGGGUGAAGCUGAAGACAUUUUGCUGAGCGAAACAAGCCAGGCACAAAAGGACAAGUACUGCAUGAUCCCACUUAUGUAAGACACCUAGAGUCCCAAUCCACAGAGGCAGGAAGUGGAAGGGUGGUUCUCAGGGGCUGCGGGAGGGGUGAGGAGUGAGGGUUUAACGGGGACAGAGUUUCAGUUUGGGAAGAUGAAUAAUUUCUGGAGAUGAUGGCGGUGAUGGCUGUACAACAACGUGAACGUUAACGCCACUGAACUGUACACUUUUAAAUGGUAAAUGUUACGUUACGUAUAUUUUACCACAAUACAAAUACUAAAACAACCCCCCAAAAUAAAAACCAAGACCACAUGGAGAGGUUCCUCUGCUGUCGGCACGGGUCUGUGGGCAGAGCCGCGCACGUGCACAAGCUCCGUGGAGCGCAGCUCAGGCCGGUGUCACCAGGGAAACUGAGGCUGGGGGGGGCGCUGGGGGGGGGCGCUGGGGGGUGGAGCUGGGCCUGGCUCCGCCCCCUUUAGACUCCGCGCGCUCCUUCCCGAGCCCCGGUGUUCUUUGGCGGCCGGCCCGGAGGGAGGACGGCGGACUGGCUCCCCCCGCAGGGGCGACCCCCGCUCCUCACGCAGGUGGAUCAGGUGGCGGGGGGGGCCUGGCACGGGCCUCAGCAUCAGGGUGGCCCGGGCGGAGCCGGCACCGCGCACCCCAGCCCCGCGGACGCCACUCUCCGGCCACACCGGCCACACCCGGGCUGCGCGGCCGCCGAACGGGCGGGGCGCCACCUGCUGGCGGAGGCGGGGGGCGCGCGGGUACGUUCGGGGCCGGGCCUCCUGCGGGUGCGGGCGGGGUCUGUGCGGUUCCGCAGCCCAAGCCGGGGCUGACAGCUACAGAACUUUAUCCCUCCCAGGGCCGAGCCCAGAGCUCCCCCUCCCCGAAAGCCGGGGCCAGGGAGUUCCCGGGCUCCCCAGCUCCCGGGGGUGGCAGCCCCCUGCCCCACCUCUGCUCAGUCCUCACAGGACGACGCCUCCCCGUGCAUCUGCGUCCACGCUCCCCUCUUCCCGUGAGGACACAAGUCAUCGGAUCCAGUACGCCUCAUCUUAACUCGAUCACAUCUACAAAGACCCCAUUUCCAAAUGAGAUCACAUCACAGGCCAAGGGGACGUGAAUUUGGGUGCAUUCUAUUGAACUCAGCAGAGGCCCCUGAUGCAGCCUUCCCUGACCUCCACCGGGACCAGCCCCUGUCCUGCGCGCCCAGCAGAGCACGUGGGCCGCUGGGUGGGGUCUGCACCGCACUGCACUGAACCUGCUGGCUGGGAAGCAUGUUCUUUAUGCUUCCUCUACAAAGCCUCUACAACGAUGUCCCAGCACAAGUCUGGGGCGUCAGAGCCCCUGCC